rnacentral:rRNA from 1 species
CCUACGUGAGGCAGCAGUCGAGAAUCAUUCACAAUGGGGGAAACCCUGAUGGUGCGACGCCGCGUGGGGGAAUGAAGGUCUUCGGUUUGUAAACCCCUGUCAUGUGGGAGCAAAUGAAAAAGAUAGUACAACAAGAGGAAGAGACGGCUAACUCUGUGCCCGCAGCCCCGGUAAUACAGAGAUCUCAAGCGUUGUUCGGAAUCACUAGUCGUAAAGCGUGCGUAGGCUGUUUCGUAAGUCGUGUGUGAAAGGCGCGGGCUCAACCCGCGGACGGCACAUGAUACUGCGAGACUAGAGUAAUGGAGGGGGAACCGGAAUUCUCGGUGUAGCAGUGAAAUGCGUAGAUAUGGAGAGGAACACUCGUGGCGAAGGCGGGUUCCUGGACAUUAACUGACGCUGAGGCACGAAGGCCAGGGGAGCGAAAGGGAUUAGAUACCCCAGUAGUC